AUUGAACGCUGGCGGCAGGCCUAACACAUGCAAGUCGAACGGCAGCACAGAAGAGCUUGCUCUUUGGGUGGCGAGUGGCGGACGGGUGAGUAAUGUCUGGGAAACUGCCCGAUGGAGGGGGAUAACUACUGGAAACGGUAGCUAAUGCCGCAUAACGUCGCGAGACCAAAGUGGGGGACCUUCGGGCCUCACACCAUCGGAUGUGCCCAGAUGGGAUUAGCUAGUAGGUGGGGUAAUGGCUCACCUAGGCGACGAUCCCUAGCUGGUCUGAGAGGAUGACCAGCCACACUGGAACUGAGACACGGUCCAGACUCCUACGGGAGGCAGCAGUGGGGAAUAUUGCACAAUGGGCGCAAGCCUGAUGCAGCCAUGCCGCGUGUAUGAAGAAGGCCUUCGGGUUGUAAAGUACUUUCAGCGGGGAGGAAGGCGGUGAGGUUAAUAACCUCGCCGAUUGACGUUACCCGCGGAAGAAGCACCGGCUAACUCCGUGCCAGCAGCCGCCGUAA
rnacentral:rRNA from 1 species